GACAUUGACGGAAAAUUCAGGUAA
rnacentral:siRNA from 1 species